AUUUGCUGAAAAUCGUUGUCCGUUUUUCGGUCCUUUGCGGUUAGUGCUAAAAUUUUGUUUCAUUUUCAAAAAUAACCAUAUUUGUUUUAAAAAUAUAAUUUAACGGCAUAUUUCUUCCAUUUUAACCAUCCUUUGAAGUUUUUACACCUCAAAAUCAUAAAACGGCGAAAUUGUGUCCACGGCGAAUAUGGGCGCCCCACU
rnacentral:lncRNA from 1 species